UAAUGUAUGGGGAUCUGCCCGAUAGAGGGGGAUAACUACUGGAAACGGUGGCUAAUACCGCAUAAUGUCUACGGACCAAAGCAGGGGCUCUUCGGACCUUGCACUAUCGGAUGAACCCAUAUGGGAUUAGCUAGUAGGUGGGGUAACGGCUCACCUAGGCGACGAUCUCUAGCUGGUCUGAGAGGAUGAUCAGCCACACUGGGACUGAGACACGGCCCAG
rnacentral:rRNA from 1 species